rnacentral:rRNA from 1 species
UAAAAGACCUAGCAAUAGGUAUGCUUAGGGAGGAGCUUGCGUCACAUUAGUUAGUUGGUGGGGUAAAGGCCUACCAAGACUAUGAUGUGUAGCCGGGCUGAGAGGUUGAACGGCCACAUUGGGACUGAGACACGGCCCAAACUCCUACGGGAGGCAGCAGUAGGGAAUUUUCGGCAAUGGAGGAAACUCUGACCGAGCAACGCCGCGUGAACGAUGAAGUAUUUCGGUACGUAAAGUUCUUUUAUUAGGGAAGAAUAAAUGAUGGAAAAAUCAUUCUGACGGUACCUAAUGAAUAAGCCCCGGCUAACUAUGUGCCAGCAGCCGCAGUAAUACAUAGGGGGCAAGCGUUAUCCGGAAUUAUUGGGCGUAAAGGGUGCGUAGGCGGUUAAAUAAGUUUAUGGUCUAAGUGCAAUGCUCAACAUUGUGAUGCUAUAAAAACUGUUUAGCUAGAGUAAGAUAGAGGCAAGUGGAAUUCCAUGUGUAGUGGUAAAAUGCGUAAAUAUAUGGAGGAACACCAGUAGCGAAGGCGGCUUGCUGGGUCUUUACUGACGCUGAGGCACGAAAGCGAGGGGAGCAAACAGGAUUAGAUACCCUGGUAGUCCACGCCGUAAACGAUGAGUACUAAACGUUGGGUAAAACCAGUGUUGAAGUUAACACAUUAAGUACUCCGCCUGAGUAGUACGUACGCAAGUAUGAAACUUAAAGGAAUUGACGGGACUCCGCACAAGCGGUGGAUCAUGUUGUUUAAUUCGAAGGUACCCGAAAAACCUCACCAGGUCUUGACAUGCUUCUGCAAAGCUGUAGAAACACAGUGGAGGUUAUCAGUUGCACAGGUGGUGCAUGGUUGUCGUCAGCUCGUGUCGUGAGAUGUUGGGUUAAGUCCCGCAACGAGCGCAACCCUUAUUGUUAGUUACCAGCACGUAAUGGUGGGGACUUUAGCAAGACUGCCAGUGAUAAAUUGGAGGAAGGUGGGGACGACGUCAAAUCAUCAUGCCCCUUAUGACCUGGGCUACAAACGUGAUACAAUGGCUGUUACAAAGGGUAGCUGAAGCGC